CCAGAGAAUUUAGCAGAGAUGCUUUAGUGCCUUCGGGAACUCUGAGACAGGUGCUGCAUGGCUGUCGUCAGCUCGUGUUGUGAAAUGUUGGGUUAAGUCCCGCAACGAGCGCAACCCUUAUCCUUUGUUGCCAGCACGUAAUGGUGGGAACUCAAGGGAGACUGCCGGUGAUAAACCGGAGGAAGGUGGGGAUGACGUCAAGUCAUCAUGGCCCUUACGAGCAGGGCUACACACGUGCUACAAUGGCGCAUACAAAGAGAAGCGACCUCGCGAGAGCAAGCGGACCUCAUAAAGUGCGUCGUAGUCCGGAUUGGAGUCUGCAACUCGACUCCAUGAAGUCGGAAUCGCUAGUAAUCGUAAAUCAGAAUGUUACGGUGAAUACGUUCCCGGGCCUUGUACACACCGCCCGUCACACCAUGGGAGUGGGUUGCAAAAGAAGUAGAUAGCUUAACCUUCGGGAGGGCGUUUACCACUUUGUGAUUCAUGACUGGGGUGAAGUCGUAACAAGGUAGGCGUAGUGCU
rnacentral:rRNA from 1 species